UUGAACGCUGGCGGCAUGCUUUACACAUGCAAGUCGAACGGCAGCACGGGGGCAACCCUGGUGGCGAGUGGCGAACGGGUGAGUAAUAUAUCGGAACAUAUCCGGGAGUGGGGGAUAACGUAGCGAAAGUUACGCUAAUACCGCAUAUGCCCUGAGGGGGAAAGUGGGGGAUCGCAAGACCUCACGCUUUCGGAGUGGCCGAUAUCGGAUUAGCUAGUUGGUGGGGUAAAGGCCCACCAAGGCGACGAUCCGUAGCUGGUCUGAGGGGACGACCAGCCACACUGGGACUGAGACACGGCCCAGACUCCUACGGGAGGCAGCAGUGGGGAAUUUUGGACAAUGGGGGCAACCCUGAUCCAGCCAUGCCGCGUGAGUGAAGAAGGCCUUCGGGUUGUAAAGCUCUUUCAGGAGGGAAGAAACGGUUGAGGCUAAUAUCCUUGACUAAUGACGGUACCUUCAGAAGAAGCACCGGCUAACUACGU
rnacentral:rRNA from 1 species